rnacentral:rRNA from 1 species
GUAGGUGGCAAGCGUUGUCCGGGAACUAUUGGGCGUAAGGCGCGCGCAGGGCGGUCCUUUAAGUCUGAUGUGAAAGCCCGCGGCUCAACCGUGGAGGGUCAUUGGAAACUGGGGGACUUGAGUACAGAAGAGGAAAGCGGAAUUCCAAGUGUAGCGGUGAAAUGCGUAGAGAUUUGGAGGAACACCAGUGGCGAAGGCGGCUUUCUGGUCCGUAACUGACGCUGAGGCGCGAAAGCGUGGGGAGCAAACAGGAUUAGAUACCCUGGUAGUCCACGCCGUAAACGAUGAGUGCUAAGUGUUAGGGGGUUUCCGCCCCUUAGUGCUGCAGCUAACGCAUUAAGCACUCCGCCUAGGGAGUACGGCCGCAAAGGCUG